GGGCACAUGGUGUAGUUUGUUAUCACGCCCGCUUAGCAUGAGUAGCUUGCGGACGGUCCCCAGUUCAUUUCUGGGUGCGUCCA